GACGUAGGGCGCGAGCGUUGUCCGGAUUUAUUGGGCGUAAAGAGCUCGUAGGCGGCUUGUCGCGUCGACUGUGAAAUCCCGCGGCUCAACUGCGGGUCUGCAGUCGAUACGGGCAGACUAGAGUGUGGUAGGGGAGACUGGAAUUCCUGGUGUAGCGGUGAAAUGCGCAGAUAUCAGGAGGAACACCGAUGGCGAAGGCAGGUCUCUGGGCCACUACUGACGCUGAGAAGCGAAAGCAUGGGGAGCGAACAGG
rnacentral:rRNA from 1 species